UCAGGGGGGUCGCCGCCGGUGCCACACCCGACCCGACCCGACCCGACCCGACCCGACCCGGCCCGGCCCGGCCCUGCCGCUCACCCUGGGCUCGCGCCGCCGCUCCCCGCGGUCAGCUGAGCGCCGCCACGUGACCCGCCCCGCCCGCGGCAACAGCAGCGCCGCCAGGGGGCGCCAGGCGGCACGCGCGGACAGGUGGGCGGAGCCACCGCAUCCCCGCCAGGCCCGUCCCACCCCGCCGCAUCCCAGCCCGUCCCAUCCUCUCUCUCCCAGUCCUGUCCCCUCCCAGCCCGUCCCAUGGGAUCCCCUCCCGUCUCAUCCCGUCCCAUCAGAACCCGUCCCGUCCCACCCUGGCCGCGGGAAUCCCACGGAGAGGAGCCCGGCGGGAGGAGGGUCCGGCGGCCGCAGCUGUGCCCGGGGUGUGAAGCCAUCCCUGAGCCCCGGCUUGUGAGGGACGUGCCCAGGCCCGGGAUACAGGAGCUCCGCCGAGCCUCAUUCCCUCUGCAGCGCUGCUCAUGCCCAGGCUUACGAGUAAAAAGGGACCCCUUCCUCCUAUUUUUCUUACUGAAACAUGAAUUGCACAACAUAAAGUCACCAUAAAAUAUUUGCUCUCCGAUUCCACAUAAAGAAAGCUUCAGCUUUCUCUGGAACCACAGAGCUCUUUGGAAGCCAAGCAUUCCACAAUGGUAAGUCAAAAGUUUAGAUUGGUUUGGGUUCUUUUUUUUAUAAUGGGGAUGUAGAUAGGUAUUUGCUUUAAAACUGCAAAGGGAGAGCAUUUCAGAGAAUCAUCUAGUUACCCAUUUUAAAUGUGGCUAUAUUGUAUUUCAGACCUGUAAGAUGCAAUGACAGGAAGACACCUCUGUGAAGGUUACUGUGAAUUUUGUUCUUUGUAUUGUAAUUCUUUGCAAGAUACUGUAUAGAUAUCUCUUAGGCUUUCACUGGCUGUUAUCCCCUCCUUAGAAAUGUUUGUGAAAACACUCAAAGUUUUGCAAACAUUUAGGACCUUGUUUUUUAAACCUAUUAGUGUGAAGUAGAGUUUAAAAUAUUGUCAUUUUACAAGGAAGAAAAGAGUAUAUUUUAUCCAUGUUUAUUUUCCUGUUCUUCACUUUUGAUCCCUCAAAUUGUGUCCUGAUCCAGCUCCUCAGGCCUCCAAAGGUGUUUGCAGAUUUGAAUCAAUAGUUAGGUAAUGAUAAAUAGACCGACAAAGUCCUAUGGCCUGGUUUUCCUGUAAUUUGUGCUCACAUUAUCCCAAAGGCCCAGACAUCAAGAGCCACCUUUGAUGA
rnacentral:lncRNA from 1 species